rnacentral:rRNA from 1 species
UACGUAGGGUGCAAGCGUUAAUCGGAAUUACUGGGCGUAAAGUGUGCGCAGGCGGUUUUGUAAGUCUGUCGUGAAAUCCCCGGGCUCAACCUGGGAAUUGCGAUGGAGACUGCAAGGCUAGAAUCUGGCAGAGGGGGGUAGAAUUCCACGUGUAGCAGUGAAAUGCGUAGAGAUGUGGAGGAACACCGAUGGCGAAGGCAGCCCCCUGGGUCAAGAUUGACGCUCAUGCACGAAAGCGUGGGGAGCAAACAGG